AGAAAACACUCGUGUGAGACUCAGGCAAGCUCCCUCGGGCUGCUCAGAUAACAGAGCUGUUUUUCCAAGUUUGGCCCUGGCUGCCACGUGGCUCGAAAACUGUCUGGAGAGACUGAAGCAAGAGGAGGGUGGCUCCAGCCUGGAAGUCAUCAGGCUCCACUGAGUCCCAGCCUCACCCUCCAAAGCCCUCUGCUCUGCAGAUAGAGAACAGAAGUCUAAUAGGAGAGCUGAGGUCACACCAUUUGGUCUAGCCUGGACAUUUUUGCCUCACACCAUAUUUGGGGGGAAAAAAUUGGAACUAGCUGACUUUUUCAAGUGGGAUGAUUCUAUUUUAAAGCUUCAUAUUUCUGGCUUUUUAGAAAAGGUGGAUGAUCCUGAAACACAAGGGCCUACAUUCCUGCAUGGUGAUAACUGGCUGGAGCAGGGCCUUAAUUCACCCUGGGAUUAAGCCAGAAACUUCUUUCUACAGCCACUGAGCCUCUGGAGUCUGCCCCAUGACCAGGAGCUGCCUACUAGAAGCAGCUAGUCCUCAGUGACCUGCUGGAAGGUACCUGGCCAUCGAAUUGGAGAACACAAGUACCCUUUCGGGCUUACCUAAGGGCUGGAGCAGAUUGUUUAGACACCGUUUCACAAGAACUGGAGUUGGUGCACUGGGACGACCCAGAGGGAUGGUACAGGGAGGGAGGAGGGAGGAGGGUGCAGGAUGGGAAACACGUGUAUACCUGUGGCGGAUUCAUGUUGAUAUAUGG
ensembl:lncRNA